GACGAACGCUGGCGGCGUGCCUAAUACAUGCAAGUAGAACGCUGAAGGAGGAGCUUGCUUCUCUGGAUGAGUUGCGAACGGGUGAGUAACGCGUAGGUAACCUGCCUGGUAGCGGGGGAUAACUAUUGGAAACGAUAGCUAAUACCGCAUAAUAGUAGAUGUUGCAUGACAUUUGCUUAAAAGGUGCAAUUGCAUCACUACCAGAUGGACCUGCGUUGUAUUAGCUAGUUGGUGAGGUAACGGCUCACCAAGGCGACGAUACAUAGCCGACCUGAGAGGGUGAUCGGCCACACUGGGACUGAGACACGGCCCAGACGCCUACGGGAGGGAGCAGUAGGGAAUCUUCGGCAAGGGAAGGAAGUCUGACCGAGCAACGCCGCGUGAGUGAAGAAGGUUUUCGGAUCGUAAAGCUCUGUUGUAAGAGAAGAACGAGUGUGAGAGUGGAAAGUUCACACUGUGACGGUAUCUUACCAGAAAGGGACGGCUAACUACGUG
rnacentral:rRNA from 1 species